UUUAUCGGAGAGUUUGAUCCUGGCUCAGGACGAACGCUGGCGGCGUGCCUAAUACAUGCAAGUCGAGCGGACAGAUGGGAGCUUGCUCCCUGAUGUUAGCGGCGGACGGGUGAGUAACACGUGGGUAACCUGCCUGUAAGACUGGGAUAACUCCGGGAAACCGGGGCUAAUACCGGAUGCUUGUUUGAACCGCAUGGUUCAAACAUAAAAGGUGGCUUCGGCUACCACUUACAGAUGGACCCGCGGCGCAUUAGCUAGUUGGUGAGGUAAUGGCUCACCAAGGCGACGAUGCGUAGCCGACCUGAGAGGGUGAUCGGCCACACUGGGACUGAGACACGGCCCAGACUCCUACGGGAGGCAGC
rnacentral:rRNA from 1 species